CACGUAGGGGGCGAGCGUUGUCCGGAUUUAUUGGGCGUAAAGAGCUCGUAGGCGGCUCAGUAAGUCGGGUGUGAAAACUCCAGGCUCAACCUGGAGACGCCACCUGAUACUGCUGUGGCUAGAGUCCGGUAGGGGAGCAUGGAAUUCCUGGUGUAGCGGUGAAAUGCGCAGAUAUCAGGAGGAACACCAGCGGCGAAGGCGGCGCUCUGGGCCGGUACUGACGCUGAGGAGCGAAAGCGUGGGGAGCAAACAGG
rnacentral:rRNA from 1 species